rnacentral:rRNA from 1 species
AACGAACGCUGGCGGCAUGCCUAACACAUGCAAGUCGAACGCUAUCUUUGAUAGAGUGGCGCACGGGUGAGUAACGCGUGGGAACCUGCCUUUCUCUGCGGGACAACGGUUGGAAACGACCGCUAAUACCGCAUACGCCCUACGGGGGAAAGGUCAGCCGGAGAAAGAGGGGCCCGCGUUCGAUUAGCUAGUUGGUAGGGUAAAAGCCUACCAAGGCGACGAUCGAUAGCUGGUCUGAGAGGAUGAUCAGCCACACUGGGACUGAGACACGGCCCAGACUCCUACGGGAGGCAGCAGUGGGGAAUAUUGGACAAUGGGGGCAACCCUGAUCCAGCAAUGCCGCGUGUGUGAUGAAGGCCUUAGGGUUGUAAAGCACUUUCACUGGUGAAGAUGAUGACGGUAGCCAGAAAAGAAGCCCCGGCUAACUUCG